rnacentral:rRNA from 1 species
AGGGAAUCUUCCACAAUGGACGCAAGUCUGAUGGAGCAACGCCGCGUGAGUGAAGAAGGUUUUCGGACCGUAAAGCUCUGUUGUUGGUGAAGAAGGAUAGAGGUAGUAACUGGCCUUUAUUUGACGGUAAUCAACCAGAAAGUCACGGCUAACUACGUGCCAGCAGCCGCGGUAAUACGUAGGUGGCAAGCGUUGUCCGGAUUUAUUGGGCGUAAAGCGAGCGCAGGCGGAAGAAUAAGUCUGAUGUGAAAGCCCUCGGCUUAACCGAGGAAUUGCAUCGGAAACUGUUUUCUUGAGUGCAGAAGAGGAGAGUAGAACUCCAUGUGUAGCGGUGGAAUGCGUAGAUAUAUGGAAGAAUACCAGUGGCGAAGGCGGCUCUCUGGUCUGCAACUGACGCUGAGGCUCGAAAGCAUGGGUAGCGAACAGGAUUAGAUACCCUGGUAGUCCAUGCCGUAAACGAUGAGUGCUAAGUGUUGGGAGGCUUCCGCCUCUCAGUGCUGCAGCUAACGCAUUAAGCACUCUGCCUGGGGGAGUACGACCGCAAGGUUGAA